UACGUAGGGGGCAAGCGUUGUCCGGAUUUAUUGGGCGUAAAGAGCGUGUAGGCGGCCAGGUAGGUCUGCUGUGAAAACUCGAGGCUUAACCUCGAGCUGUCGGCGGAAACCAUCUGGCUCGAGUACGAGAGAGGUGAGUGGAAUUCCCAGUGUAGAGGUGAAAUUCGUAGAUAUUGGGAAGAACACCGGUGGCGAAGGCGGCUCACUGGCUCGUAACUGACGCUCAUGCACGACAGCGUGGGGAUCAAACAGG
rnacentral:rRNA from 1 species